UGACGACCGGGGAGGAGCAGGGGGGCGGAGUCUAGGAGACCUGCACACACACGCGCACACACACACGCACGCA